rnacentral:lncRNA from 1 species
ACACAAACUAUAAACAAAUAUAUUUAUUAUUUAGAAAUAAUUUCUUGAAUUACAAUAGCAUCCACAUACAACUUUAUUUUUCUUGUUCCGUACAAAGAUUGUAAGGGAAAAUAGUAUCAAAGACAUAUUGAAAUCUACCACAUCUCCAUCCUCCAUCUCUAGUGCAACAAACUCUUUACUGAUUUAUGUUCAUCCAUUCUUAGUCAACAAAUGAACUUGCUUCACAUUACUGCUUGGUGAUAAGAAGAGACCAAUGCAAAGGAUGCAUCCAUCUACUUUGCCAAUCAUGACAAGAUGAUAAGAUUGUAUGUCUUUACUUCCUUCAAUUCAUCAUACAUUGCUGGUUGUAGUGCUACCUGAGUUAUUAUAUGUAUCCAUUCACAUAGAGAAACAGUUAGAUUAAGUAUAAAUCAGAUGUCUACCUCAGUCACCAAGCUUACGGUAAUAGAUUAAUCUUUCAAUGGAAAAAUUACCUACUGCUAAGCAGACCACACUAGCCCUCUACAAAAGAAGAUAUAAUAAAUAUUAGAUGUCAUGAACUGCUGACAACUCUUUUGAACAUCAGUGUGCCCUGGUUCCUGAAUGAAAUUUGUUAAGAUCGACAGGCAGCAGUAUUACUGUAUGAGCAUGAUAUCCUGCAAGUUAAGGUACUCAUAAAAGACCUAGCCCAUGGAUCAUAGGUUAGUACUUCAUUGAACCAUGCAAUCUCCUCACUUGUAAAGAAAAAACAAAUCUUAUGACAAAUAUCGAUCCUUAGUCGUCUUAAAGCACCACUAAUAACAUUUACAUCAAUGACAAUCUACAAUAGUAAAAAGAUCAACUUCAACAGUAGUCAAAGAGCUGCUAUGAAAUUCUGGUUGUCCAAAAAAAAUUUCAAGGGCUACUGACCACUACUGUUAUUUUUAAUGAAUCAAACUAGAUAAUUGUAUAAAUCUAUUUCAAGCCAGCUAGGGCACUAGAAUUAAACAAAGGUUACUACAAAAUUCAACAACCAUCUCAUUGCACAUAUUAAGAACAGGCAGAUCUCAAGCACUCCAUUCAAAGGCACAAAAAUUUGGAGAAAGAUGAACCAUAACAAAUGUUAAGGUUGAGAUUUUUUAUCUUAACAAGUUGAAGCCCACAUUUACAUAGAAUCUAACUAACAACAAACUUUAUAUCAUUGUGACAAUUAGUGGUAUAAUAUGUAUAUCUAAAUAUGAAACACAGAGAAAAUAGUCGAUAAGUAAAAGUAUAUAAAUGAAAUUUUUCCGUGUUUGAUAAUGUGACAUCCAUAUACCUGUAGAAGUAGGCAAAAAUAGGACCAUAUAAAAAUGUAAAAAAUAUAUUAGUGAAACAUGUCCUAGCGACAUUAUGUUUAUCAGGAUAGGUAUGUUUUCAGCGAGUCUGUUUUUUAAGAAAAUCCUAUUCAGGAAAACGGUGGAAGAGGACAUUGUACCCUACUGCAUAAUCAUUUUAAAUAAGAAUAUUGGCAGGAGCUGUUUGAACAUCAUAAGAUCAGAAGCAAUCGACAACGCAAGAACAAUAUUAACAGAUCAUAUAGAAAUAUUACAGUGUAAAUGUUGUCACAGGUGGUGGUAGUGUUUAGAACUUACCUGUAGGUGAGCAGAAGAAUUGUACUCAACAAUUAUGGAAAAUGAAGAAGUGUAGGUCCAUAGAAAUCUUUCAUGUAAAAGGAAAUAAUAAAUGUAUGAGUAUCCAUAUGGUUAUUAAACUUUUGAACCUAUUACCAAUUUGUAGAACAUUUACAUUAAGUAGAACCUAAUGUUAUGGACUUGAGAACUCCUAGAGCAGGAUCUAAAGUUACUAAGAAAGUCUUGAGAUCUCAAAAGGCAGAACGUUGGUAGCCUGUGAUUGGCCACAAACAAGUGAAGACCCAAUUCGUAGACAUUAAAGCGUUAGAACUAUUGGUCAGCUCAUUGUGAAUUCGUGGAUUCCAGAUUUUUCCCGAGAGUGCCUAUUUAUUAGUAAAAAAUUAAUUAGACAACAAAAUUAAUUUCUUGAAUUGCUGGAGGUUGUUUGAACCUAUACUAAUUGUGCUGUGAAAUUUAAAGGUUGGCCUUGGCUUAAAACCUGCACAUCAGGUGGUGAGUGUUUGUAGUUCUUUGUUGAUUAGAAUACCACAUGCCAACAUCGUCUCUAAGAUUUUAUAUAUCUUCACAAAGAUUUCAUCUAUUCCUUAUGCAAUGCAAUUAGAUAUGUACAUACACAUUUUGUCGUCAUCUAACAUUGCCAGGCCACUAUUUAAUUCAGUUUCAAAAAAUAACCAAUGUAACAUUGUCAGGCAACUAUCUCUACCUGCCACAAAAGCAAACAUUUUGAAGGGGGAAAUAAUAUCCCUGACAGGUAGUGAAGAGGCACAAAGAAAUAAGCAUUUGUAUAACUUGUGCUGCAAUCAUCCGUACCUUAAUCCUUGAUGGAAUCAGGGAGAGGUUCAUAGCCAGAGCAAAGGACAAAGUUGGUGAAGUCCAGGUCGUCGCACGGCAAAGGUCCAUGCAACCCAUACUUUGUCCCAUGACAAAAAUCAGAGAGAGCGCAAAGAGCGCGAGGCCGAGGGAUCCCUGAUCCUCACCCUCGCCCUAUGCGGAUCGCCGCGACAGAGGCCAAAGACCAUGGCGGCGCCCACUCCUGCAGGGAUACCUCGGCAUGUAGGUGAGGCGAAGCGAACUCCAAAACUAAUGGAGCUUCAACUUUCACGUAUCGGCGGCAGUCGAGCAGAACAUCAUGAUUUGCGUUUGAGAAACCCUAGCCACAACCGCAGUCAUUUCUAGGAAGUGUGAGAGGAUAAAAAAACAUCCUAG